CCUACGGGUGGCAGCAGUGGGGAAUAUUGCACAAUGGGGGAAACCCUGAUGCAGCGACGCCGCGUGAGCGAUGACUUCCUUCGGUAUGUAAAGCUCUAUCAGCAUGGGAGAAAAUGACGGUACCUGUCUACUAAGCCCCGGCUAACUCCGUCACAGCAGCCGCGGUAAUACGUAGGGGGCCAGCGUUAUCCGGCUUUACUGGGUGUAAAGGGAGCGUAGACGGUCCUGCAAGCCCGGGGUGAAAGCCCGGGGCUCAACCCUGGGACUGCAUUUGAAACUGUAAGGCUAGAGUGCCGGAGAGGCAGGCGGAAUUCCUGGUGUAGCGGUGAAAUGCGUAGAUAUCAGGAGGAACACCGGUGGCGAAGGCGGCCUGCUGGACCGUGACUGACGUUGAGGCUCGAAAGCGUGGGGAGCAAACAGGAUUAGAUACCCCAGUAGUC
rnacentral:rRNA from 1 species